CCUACGGGGGACAGCAGUGAGGAAUAUUGGUCAAUGGGCGUAAGCCUGAACCAGCCAAGUCGCGUGAGGGAUGAAGGUUCUAUGGAUCGUAAACCUCUUUUAUAAGGGAAUAAAGUGUGGGACGUGUCCUAUUUUGUAUGUACCUUAUGAAUAAGGAUCGGCUAACUCCGUGCCAACAGCCGCGGUAAUACGGAGGAUCCGAGCGUUAUCCGGAUUUAUUGGGUUUAAAGGGUGCGUAGGCGGCCUUUUAAGUCAACGGUGAAAGUCUGUGGCUCAACCAUAGAAUUGCCGUGGAAACUGGGGAGCUUGAGUAUGUUUGAGGCAGGCGGAAUGCGAGGUGUAGCGGUGAAAUGCUUAGAUAUAACGCAGAACCCCGAUUGCGAAGGCAGCCUGCCAAGCCAUGACUGACGCUGAUGCACGAAAGCGUGGGGAUCAAACAGGAUUAGAGACCCGGGUAGUC
rnacentral:rRNA from 1 species